rnacentral:piRNA from 1 species
AGUUCGAACUUGUUACAUUUUUA